rnacentral:rRNA from 1 species
CAGCAGCCACGGUAACACGUAGGGUGCGAGCGUUAAUCGGAAUUACUGGGCGUAAAGCGUGCGCAGGCGGUUAUAUAAGACAGAUGUGAAAUCCCCGGGCUCAACCUGGGACCUGCAUUUGUGACUGUAUAGCUAGAGUACGGUAGAGGGGGAUGGAAUUCCGCGUGUAGCAGUGAAAUGCGUAGAUAUGCGGAGGAACACCGAUGGCGAAGGCAAUCCCCUGGACCUGUACUGACGCUCAUGCACGAAAGCGUGGGGAGCAAACAGGAUUAGAUACCCCCGUAGUCCCUGUCUCUUAUAC